UACGGGGGGGGCAAGCGUUGUUCGGAAUUACUGGGCGUAAAGGGCUCGUAGGUGGCCAAUUAAGUCAGGGGUGAAAUCCCCAGGCUCAACUUGGGAACUGCGUCUGAUACUGGUUGGCUUGAGUUCGGGAGAGGGAUGCAGAAUUCCAGGUGUAGCGGUGAAAUGCGUAGAUAUCUGGAGGAAUACCGGUGGCGAAGGCGGCAUCCUGGACCGAGAUUGACACUGAUGAGCGAAAGCCAGGGGAGCAAACGGG
rnacentral:rRNA from 1 species